UACGUUAUAGGUUCUCGCGGGCUUGGUUUCCGCAACUCGACGUCAUAUUAUUGCGCCUAUUUUGCGUGGUGGGUUGGCGGCACUAUUCUUGCCAACCCAACUCUACCAAGAAGCCUAGCAGACCCUUGACGUUGCCGACGACUUCUGGGAGAGACCCCGGUGAGCCGAGGUGUUGUGCCCGGUAUUCUGCCACUCCUGGGCAUUCGAGAAUGACGUGGGUGGCUGUCUCCUCUGCCUCCAUGCAUGCUCUGCAGAGGGGGCUAUCUGUAACACGUAGGGUUAAUAGGUGCUUGUUAAAUGAGGCGUGGCCAGUCAUGGCCCCAGCUAUAAGCCGAAGCUUUGGUUUCUUCAGCUGUCGCAGUCUCCGCGACAGAUUGGGGUUGAGUGUCGGGAGGGCUUCCUUCGCCUGCCUGCAAGUGCCUAGGUUAGACCAGUAUUGUUGGUGUUUUACCUUGGUGUUGUGUCGCAGCAUGUUCCGGAGCCAGGCAUAUGGCAGAGGUACGAUUGGCUCAGGUCCUGCCACCUCCAGUUCCGAGCCUCCUCUCGCCAAGAUGUCGGCUGCAUCGUUACCUCAAAAGAAAAUCGAAUAGUAUAUCCACCCCAGAUGAAUGUCCCAUGAAGAAGAGAAAAUACGAAGACAGACCGACCUUAUCUAUACAUCAAGGCUGGUUCUUAGAAAAUACGUAUCCUCAGUGUCUAUCCACCGGGUAGGCGCUCUUCCUCUACUUCUCUUCCCUAUCACGUGACCGACCAUCAUCAAUACCUCUAGACUAUCUUCGGGUCUAGCCACGUGUCCGAAGAAUCGAAGUAUGCGCUGUGUGCAAAUAGUGAAGAGACGUGUUCGAAUUUUCAGCUGGCUA